UUUAAGGUUUAAUCUGCUCAAUGAUUAUUUAAAUUGCCGCAGUAUUUUGACUGUGCAAAGGUAGCAUAAUAAUUAGUUUCUUUAUUGGGAACUGGAAUGAAUGAUUGGACGAGAAAAUUUCUGUCUCUUUAUUAUUUUAAUUGAAUUUUACUUUUAAGUUAAAAGGCUUAAAUUUUAUUAGAGGACGAGAAGACCCUAUAGAGUUUAAUUUUUAUUUAAAUAAUUAUUUUUAGUAUUUAUAUAUAUAUUAUUUAAAUAAAAAUUUAGUUGGGGUGACUAAAAGAUAAGAAUAACUCUUUUAAUUUUUAUCAAUUAUUUUUGAUUAUAAAAUCUUUAUUUUUAAUUUUAAAAUAAAUUACCUUAGGGAUAACAGCGUAAUUCUUUUUUAAAGUUCUUAUUAAAAGAAGAGUUUGCGACCUCGAUGUUGGAUUAAAAUUAAUUUUAGGUGUAGAAGCUUGAAAAUUAAGUCUGUUCGACUUUUAAAAUUUUACAUGAUCUGAGUUUAAACCGGUGUGAGCCAGGUUGGUUUCUA
rnacentral:rRNA from 1 species